UACGGGGGGUGCGAGCGUUGUCCGGAUUCACUGGGCGUAAAGGGCGCGUAGGCGGCUGGAUCAGUCGGGUCUGUAAGUGCGGGGCUCAACCCCGUGAUGGACUCGGGACGGUCGAGCUGGGGCGCGGUAGAGGGAGACGGAAUGCCGGGUGUAGUGGUGAAAUGCGUAGAGAUCCGGCGGAACACCGGUGGUGGAGGCGGUCUCCUGGGCCGAGGGCCGACGCUGAAGCGCGAGAGCGUGGGGAGCGAACCGG
rnacentral:rRNA from 1 species